ensembl:lncRNA
AAAGGGUAUAAAAUACAGGCUGCUACGGGAGCAUUAGUAGCAUCUGACUGGGUGGGUGAGGCCAGGGAAAACUUUCUGUCUUGAAAGUAAACAAACCAACAAAAACCUAAGUCCCCCAAAGGGUCAUUUUCAUCUGACACUGAAGAUCACUCACGACAUGGGCACUAGCAGGCUCUCGCCGCACAGGCAACGACCGCGAGAAACACACAACACCACGAGCUUGCACCUGCCUGGAAAGCCCACGCGUCUCACGCUGAGAAGCCACACAAAGGCUUUUCCCUUGCUCGAGGACAAAACGGCUUGAACUCUGCUUUGCUUUUGUUUCACACUGAGUCUGCUCCCCUCUGCCAGAUGACCACAUCAAAAGUGAUUCCCCUGGGGAAAGCACAGGCAGAACACUCUGACAGAAUUCAAAGAAGAUCUGUACAUCUGAAACUAACACAACAUUGUAAACCAACCGAAGUCCAGUAUAAAACAGAAAUUUUUUUAAAAAAAGAAAAGAUACACGCCCCUCCAUGUUCAUAGCAGCACUAUUUACAACAGCCAAGACAGGGAAGCAACCUAAAUGCCCACUGACAGGGAAAUGUAUAAAGACGUGGUCCAUAUAUACAAUGGAAUGUUAUUCAGUCA